UACGGAGGUCCCGAGCGUUGUUCGGAUUCAUUGGGCGUAAAGGGUGCGUAGGCGGCUUCCUAAGUUUGAUGUGAAAUCCUGGGGCUCAACCCUGGAACUGCAUUGAAUACUGGGAGGCUAGAGUACUGGAGAGGAAACUGGAAUUUACGGUGUAGCAGUGAAAUGCGUAGAGAUCGUAAGGAAGACCAGUGGCGAAGGCGAGUUUCUGGACAGUUACUGACGCUGAGGCACGAAGGCGAGGGGAGCAAACGGG
rnacentral:rRNA from 1 species